GAAGAAAUAGCUCAGUGGUAGGACACGUGCUUAGCAUGCACUAGGUCCUGGGUUCAAUCCCCAGUACCUCCA
rnacentral:tRNA from 1 species